AUUGAACGCUGGCGGCAUGCUUUACACAUGCAAGUCGAACGGUAACAGGGAGCUUGCUCCGCUGACGAGUGGCGAACGGGUGAGUAAUAUAUCGGAACGUGCCCAAGAGUGGGGGAUAACGUAGCGAAAGUUACGCUAAUACCGCAUACGAUCCAAGGAUGAAAGCAGGGGACCUUCGGGCCUUGUGCUCCUGGAGCGGCCGAUAUCUGAUUAGCUAGUUGGUGAGGUAAAGGCUCACCAAGGCGACGACCAGUAGCUGGUCUGAGAGGACGACCAGCCACACUGGAACUAGGACACGGUCCAGACUCCUACGGGAGGCAGCAGUGGGGAAUUUUGGACAAUGGGGCAACCCUGAUCCAGCAAUGCCGCGUGAGUGAAGAAGGCCUUCGGGUUGUAAAGCUCUUUUGUCAGGGAAGAAAAGGGUACGGCUAAUAUCCGUGCCUCAUGACGGUACCUGAAGAAUAAGCACCGGCUAACUACGUGCCAGCAGCCGCCGUAA
rnacentral:rRNA from 1 species